GCCUCUUUUAAAAAGUUCUAAGUUGUUAGCCAAUCGGGACAAAUACAGAAUGUGAGGUCCCAUUCCAGCCAAUAGAAACCAGACACAGCAGUAGGGUGGACAUGUCAGGUUAUAAAUGACCCUGUCUCCUUUGUUUGGUGAACUCUCAUGGCAAAACUGCUGGUGAGUGUACCCUUUCUGCAGGAAGUAAAAAUGGCCUUACUAAAUAAAUUUAUGUUCAAGUGCUAUUUCUUUAUGGCACUGGGGAACAAGCAUUUCAAACAAUUUGGUGUCAAUCCGUACAGGGAUACAUUCUCCUCUAGGGGUGGUCUCCAGUCCUCUCUCAUGAGGGAGCAUGCUCCCCUACCUCAUUGAAGGUGCCUCAGGGAUGAGAAAUUGAGACCCACCCAGUGUGGUGAAUAAACCCGGACUCUCAGCAAUGCAAAAAAAUAAAAAAGAAACUGGCCAGCAAUCUAGCUUAAAGGAUCUUCACAUACUGCAGCGACAACUCUGUGCACAGACCAAGGAAGGAGAAGCCGCAGGAGCUGGACAAAAUUGGAGAAACUGGUUAUUUUAUGGAGGCUUUAACUGGAAUAGCAUGCUUUCCUUUAAGGAAUCAAAUUUGACUUGUGGAGCCAAUGAAAGCCCCUUGAGGAACCGGCCUCAGGCUUUGCCUACACAGUCCCUGUACAGGGUUUCUGCCCUGUGAACCCAAAGACUGGCUCUUCUGAGAACAUCAGAAAGACUGCCCUGGCUAUCCACGUUGAAGCAAAACUUUGGGACUUUUAACCUUGCGUUCAUAAUCUCACAACUCAGUAGGGUCCCUCCGCACUGUUGGAACUGCAUACCUAUUGGAAACCUUCAGGUAAAGCUAAUCAGGGAAGUUUCUCCCCGAAAGAAGAUGGCAUCCAUGAUGUGAACAACUUUUUCUGAAGAUCAUGGAGCAAGACUUCUCUACUAUCAUACAACCCCUAUCUUUCAAUUUUUUUCCUUAUCUAUCCAUUUUUUUCCUAUGUUUAUGCCUCUAUGAACAAUAGAAGUGAAAAGGGGAUCUGUUGUGUGCACUCAUAGGGUUACAAUUUUAUUUGUGAAGGAUUUUGCAGCCAGUCUUAUACAUGGAUAACCUUAAACCUUGAUAGAUGGAAGAUAAAGACCCAAUGUAUGUGAGAAAUUUUAAUGGUACAUACAUAACCUCAUAGUCAGUCAGAAACAGAACAUUGGUCCACUCCUCUUAACCUACAUCAUGUGUUAAAGAGAAUAUUGCCAGAUGAUCUUCACCCUUCUAGAAGGGCUUCAUUCGUUAGGUCCUUUUUUCCAUGUAUUGGAGUAAAUGAGGCAAUUUAUCCCUCAUGAUAGGCUCUGUAGGAGAUCCUACUAUAAAGGCUGUGACUACACAACAGACUUGAAAUUAUCUUGUGAAAGUUAUGCUAAAUAAUAGAAUUGCUCUAAGUUACUUACUGGCUAAACAGAGAAGUAUCUGGCACUUCUUGUUGCCCAUGGAGAAACUUAUCACAUGGGAUAGUAUAAAGAAUCAGUUAUAAGGGAUUAUCGAAGAGACUACUUAAUUGAAGUGAGUAGACUCUUUGUCUAGCUCAUUCUUUGAUCUAUUUGAUUUUAGUUGGUUUGGUUUAAGGGGACCCUGGCUAAGGAACAUACUGCAAACUCUUGGUGUUAUUCUCCUGAUAGUCAUCAUAGUAGUCUCCCUGGUACACUGUAUUCUUGCAAAAUUUUAAAUGUUUGCAGGCAGCUAUCUCUAGAAGUCAAAUGGUCUCUCUUCAAUUGGAAUAACAAGAGCUGAAAGAAAUGUGUGAACAUAAGCGCACCAUAACCUCUGAAUUACAUGCUGAGAUCAGAAACUCAAAAUGAUGGUAACUGAGAGUGGUGCUGAGGCCCUAAAUUUUGGUCACACUCUCACCUAAGUAAGAACCUGACCAGAAUGGGGCACUUUCAGGGGAGGCCAUUGUUUUGGUCUGAGCUCAUGCACUAGGCCCCAGCAGAACAGACCAAAAUAAAAUGAAGUCACUUAUGCUGAAUGUGACAUAAUCAAACUAAGACUUUAAGGAAACACAUAGAUCCUAGAACAGAUCAGGUUUUGUUUUUUCCUGUACACAGGACAUUUCAGGAUAAGGAGGUACCCUCUACACAACUCUUGCAAAAAACAAUCUAAAGUCCUUGUUUCCACCUGCAAAACACACUGUUCUGCUAUUUCCCAUUGAGUUUCAAGAUGAAAUAAGUACAUUUACAAUGAUGAUAGUGACAUCAAUGACUACAGUUUUGGUCAUCCUCUCAAACUCAAAAUAAUUCACAAAUCAUUAUUGCCCAAUUAAAACUUUUAAAUUUAAUUUGGCUAAAGCUUUUAUUUUAAUAAUGUAUAAAAUGUGAAUAAAAAUAGUACAUACCCUAUAGGAUUGUCAUGAACCUUAAAAAGUAUGCUAAAUGUAUGUUAAACAGACAAGUGCCUGAUUCUUGGUAAACACUAUGUUCUGAUUUAUGGUUGCUAUUAUUUUUAUAAUUGUUUAUACCAGAUUGAAAGAAUAAAUUAUUAAGAGAAAAACUUUGGCUGAAUUAAAUUUAAGAGAGUUUAAUUGAGCAAAGAUCAAUUCGUGAAUCGGGCAGCCUCCCAAGCCAGAGUAGGUUCAAAGACUCUAGCAAAGUCACGUGACAGAAGAAGAUUUAUGGACAGAAAAAGGAAAGUGAUAUAUAGAAAACGGAAGUGAGGUACAGAAACAGCCAGAUUGGCUACAGCUCAGCAUUUGCCUUAUUUGAACACAGUUGGAACAGUUGGCUACCUUUGAUUGGUCAAAACUCAAUGAUUGGCACAAGAGCUGCUACAGUCUAUUUACAACUUGAUAUGGUUUGGCUGUGUCCUCACCCAAAUCUCAUCUUGAAUUGUAGCUCCCAUAAUUUCUACUUGUUGUGGGAGGGACCUGGUGGGAGAUAAUUGAAUCAUGAGGGUGGUUUUUCCCAUACUGUUCUCAUGAUAAUGAAUAAGUCUCAUAAGAUGUGAUUAUUUUGUAAGAGGUUUUCCUUUUUGCUUGGCUCUCUCAUUCUGUCUUAUUUGUCACCAUGUAAGAUGUGCCUUUUGCCUUCCACCAUGAGUAUGAGGCCUCCCCAGCCACAUGGAACUGUGAC
rnacentral:lncRNA from 1 species